rnacentral:lncRNA from 1 species
UUGAGUAAUUAUCUUGUGUACUUGCUUUAGGUGAUAGAGCUUCCUUCCUUUAUUUGUUUGAUUUGAAGUCCGAGGAAGAAUGUAAGUUCUCCCAUCAUGCUCAUCUCGAACUCCCCCUGCAUGAGCUUUGCAAAAUCUUGACAAAGAGUUUCAUUAGUAGACCCAAAAAUAAUGUCAUCAACAUAUAUUUGUAUUACUAAUAUAUCAU